GUGCGUUUGCCUGGUACUGCGGUGUGAAAGUCAAGGCAUCAGCUGGAGAGACGAGACCUCAAAACCCACGGAGCAGCCCCCACACCCCUCACCCCCAGGGCAGCCACACGCAGUGACAUGCAACUCCCAGUGUCUUUGGGUUUAUUUAGCAAGAGGGAGUACUACAUCACCAUGGUGAAGUGGGCCACCAGCACCAAGGUCGCCGUGACCUGGCUGAACCGGGCGCAGAACGUGUCCAUCCUCACCCUCUGCGACGCCACCACGGGGGUCUGCACAAAGAAACACGAGGAUGAAAGUGAGGCCUGGCUCCACAGACAGGUAACUACUGCAUGUCCGGGUCCCCACUGUCACCUCCACCCAAUCCACCCCAGGGCUGGCCCUCAGAGCUUCGACAACAGCAGAAUGGCUUCUCAGAGUGAAUCACACAGGGCUCCCCAGGCAGAAACAGACGGCGUGCCGGCUCCGCUCACGGUGCCUCCUGUUCUCCAGGGUUGCCCAGAGAGCUCCCAGAGAUUCCGAGUUCCAGGGAGGGUCAUGUGAAAUUCACGGCUCUUCAGAGCGUGGAAUGUUUGGUGAGACCUCAGCUUGCAGUUAGAUGCCAGCACCUUGCUGAAUUGAAAAUGAACAGUCCAUCAAAGGUGGCUUAACAUAAUCUACUAUAGUAAAAGGGU
rnacentral:sRNA from 1 species